GAAGAUGAAGAUGAAGGAAAGCUUCUUCUCCAUCCUUUUCUUCUUUUCCUUCCUUCUCUUUUCUUUUUCCUUCUCUUUUCUUCUUUUCUUUCCCCUUUCCUUGCAACCGGUUGAGAGGGAGAGGAAGAGACACGAGAGAGAGAGAGGGAGAGAGAUCUGCUGUGAGGGAGAGGGGUUUAGGGCUAUUACAUUAGGUAACAAUUGCAAAUAAACCCCUCCAAUCAAUUAUAAUUGCAGCAGACCAAUUCUUUGCCAUUCUGCCAAAGUGUACCGGUACACUUUCCCGUGUCACCGGUUUAACAGCCUUUUUCACUCAAACCCGAGAGCUGCCAUUCUUCGGGUCGCUUGUUGUACCGGUACAACCAUCAACUUGUACCGGUACACAAUGCUCCAGACUUGGUUUUUAGCUUGUUUUCGACUCUAUUUCUCGCCGGACAACGCUAAAACCUUUCUAACUCUUUUAGAACUCAUCUUAACCCUUCCAACCUUGAUGGAAUGUUAACUGGAACUCGCCCAUUCAUCUUAUUCGCAUGCUUUAGCCAAUUUGGCUAAAGUUCGAUAAUUCCUUCUGGGUUCCAAUAUGUUACAUUCUCCAAACAUGUUUCGAACAUGUCUCUAUCAUCUUUUCAUCCACGCUAAUGCCGAACUUAGCUCAUGGCCCAGCAUAGCCUUUCCGUUUUCGCACCUACGCGCACCGAAAUGCCCGAAAGCUUCCGAACUUCACCGAACCUCACCGGAACCAUUCAAAUAGUUUUCCAACCCAACAUACAACGUGACUUCAUAACUUUAGAAGUCCGGUAUGUUACACUUUCGAUCACUAGCUAAAUGAUAUCAAAAAAUUGCAAAAAUUAUUUUCUAGAAACUUCAAAUGCGCUAGAUCAAGUCUAACGGAGCUGAUCGUCGAUUCGAAAAUUCCAUCAUCGAAAACGGCUCAGGAGCACGGAGGCCUCCGUGCUCCUGAGAGCACAGCAGCCCUACUCUAUA
rnacentral:lncRNA from 1 species